rnacentral:rRNA from 1 species
CAAUAGCGUAUAUUAAAGUUGUUGCGGUUAAAAAAAGCUCGUAGUUUGGAUUUUCUGCUGAGGACGACCGGUCCGCCCUCCGGGUGAGCAUCUGGUUCGGCCUUGGCAUCUUCUUGGUGAACGUAUCUGCACUUGACUGUGUGGUGCGGUACCCAGGACUUUUUACUUUGAGGAAAUUAGAGUGUUUCAAGCAGGCAUACGCCUUGAAUACAUUAGCAUGGAAUAAUAAGAUAGGACCUCGGUUCUAUUUUUGUUGGUUUCUAGAGCUGAGGUAAUGAUUAAUAAGGAUAGUUGGGGGGCAUUCGUAUUUUAACUGUCAGAGGUGAAAUUUCUUGGAUUUUGUUAAAGACGGACUACUGCGAAAGCAUUUGCCAAGGAUGUUUUUUCAUUGAUCA